rnacentral:lncRNA from 13 species
GUCAAUUUCUUAUUGAUUUCGGCAUAAGUUAGCGGUUAUUGCCUGCAUAAACCAACCUUAACUCUCAUUCUGGGCUAACGCAAUUCAGAAUUUGCGCGUAUCUGAUUGCAUCGUUUUUGGGGGACGGAUCUCGAUAGCACAUGCGACCAAUAGCACACCACCACUCACAGCGGCUGAUGCCUAGAGUUUUUCCACUGAUUGGGUUAGAUAACUCAAGAUGAUUGGUUGGUGGGCUAUCGUACCGUGCGCUAUCGGUUAAAACCGGCGCGCGAUUUUGAAAAGUUCAUGCAUGCGUAUCAGAACAUUCGUGGAAGGCAUCACGCUCGCCACCCCGAUAAUUGUGGCUCAACUUAAGUGCAAAAUUAAAUUAAACGAGUACUGGUUACAGUACAAUGAGUUGCAAUCGAAAAUAGAAUUACUCGACGAGCAGGAGUUCAAUGACUGGGCCGACUUCGAGGAUGCCUAUUAUUUGCUUUUUGCGAAAAUCUGCGAGAUUCUUAAGCUCGUUCUACAAUAGCAUAAACAUAAGACCGUAAGGUUGUAAGGCGUGGUUUUAAGAGCUUGUAAGCAAAUGAAAAAUUUUUAUUUCUUACGUUACAACCUUACGUCUUGUGUUUACUACUAUUGUAGAACAGGCUUUAAUCCGAUAAUGUCGGCGCGCGCGCAACCAGCCGUCCAGUGCGUUUGAUCGUUCCGAAAAUCGACUCAAUAUCCGACUGUCGAAGUUGAAUCUUUCUACGUUGUCUGGGAAGGACAAUGAGUGGUUUCCUUUCUUUGACUUUUUUAAUUCGCUCAUCUAUUUGAAUACGUCACUUAGCAACGUGCAAAAUUGCAGUAUUUACAAUUUUCACUUAUCAGUGAUGCGAGCAAUGUUAUCGCUUCCUUAGGAAUAUCGGAUUUCAAUUAUCAAGUAGCUUGGAAUUUGCUAAAGGAGCGAUACGAUAACAAACGAGUCAUAAUUCACACACACGUACACACGCACGCGAACACACACACACACACACACACACACACUAAAGCAAUAGUGGAUUUGCCACGCUUUGUUAAGGAAGAUUCAACUGACUUGCGGCGCAUUGCGAACGGGACGAUACGACACGUGCACAAGCGCUCAAAGCACUCAGAUGUCUCAUGCAACACUGGGAUGAUUUGUUAGUAUAUAUUUUAAACUCAAAGUUAGAUUUGUUCACAUUGUGCGAAUGGCAAUCAUCUCUGGUGGAUAUAGAGCCUAUGUUUAAGUAGUUUAAUGACUUUGUAUCUCAUCAUUGCUAAAUGCUGGAGGCCACAAGCGGUUCGAACGCCGCGUCCAAAGACACCAACAAACGCAUACAACAGCAAACAAUACGACAAGCUUUACGCGUGGCUGCAGUCAAAUAGAAAUGUAAUUUUUGUAACUGUAAGCACGCUAUAUAUUACUGCAGGGAUCUUUACCAGCUUCCCAUCAAGCAACGAAUGGUAGAAGUCCGCAAUCGCAAAAUCUGCAUCAACUGCCUGCGCUCUCUAGCUUACUCUCUGGACAAAUGUACAUCAAAAGGAUGCAAGAUCUGCAAGCAUAAGUAUAACACACUGUUACACGCCACAUCCGAGGAACGUGGUGAUGGCACCGACACAAGGGACAGCAAGUUAGGCCUUGACGGCAAUGGUGAUGCACGUUACAAGUAACACGAGCAGAAAUACUAUCAUGCUCUCUAUUACCGUAGUAAAUGCAAUCUACUCUGAUGAAUCACCACGCAUCUUGUUGGACUCAGUAAUCUGCGUAGGACAGGUCGGACCCACUCCAGAACAUUCAACAUUGCAAAAAACAAAAUUCGGUUGAAUCUUGACAGCAAGCCACAGCGGCGCCUUGAUGUCUGUAAAUAACGUAAAGGCCUUUACCACGAUUAUAUUGAACACUCAGUUACAUGAACAACUAUCAUGUUUCUGGCAAAUUGCGGACGUUGAGAAGGUCAUCAUAAAUAACAAAAACGACGCCUUGUAUGAAGAGCACUUUUUGGCUAAUGUGCUUCGAAACCCAGAUGGCAGAAACGUUGUGAAACUGUUAGUCAAGCAGCAAGUAAUUGACAAGCUGGGUAACUCGAGGGACAUUGCGCUAAAGUGCCUCUGAAGCAUGGAGCGAUGAUUCGCUCGUCAGCCGAAUUUAAGAGAGCACUAUUUCAGCUUCAUGGAUGAAUACUUGACGCUGGGCCACAUGAAGCAAAUUAAUGUAUCAAUCAACGAGGAGGCAGCGGUCUUCUACUUGCCCACCUCUCUCAUUGCGUAGUCAAAAAUUCGUGAUCAGGUCAAAGUCGUCUUUGAGUUGUCUUCAACGCAUCCUGUAAGAAUAACUCAGAAAUAUCGUUAAAUGAUGCACUAAAAGUCGGAUCAGUUGUCAACGGGACAACUUUAUGUCUAUUGUGUUGCGCUUCAGGACAUUCACUUACGUAUUGGUUGCCGACAUUAUUAAAAUGUAACGGCAGGUGCUUGUGCAUCUAUCGCAAACCUCACUGCAAAGAAUCGUAUAGCGCAGAGAUCCCAAAUCAGAUGUUGAAACUUAUGAAUUGACCACGGUCACCUAUGGAACUGCACCAGCUUCAUUCCUUGCAACAAGAUGCCUGACUCAUCUAGCAGAUCAACUUUCAUCUACAUAUCCCAUUGGAUCAACAUACGUCAAAAGAGAUUUUUACGUUGAUGACUUCUUCAUAGUAAUUGGCUGUCUCACGCGGCUUCGCGUGAUAUUGAGCCUAUCGACACGCAGAGUGUCAUCAGAGCGUGUGAUCCUCCGGAAGCAAGCUAGGAGCCUCGUGGAAUGUGAUCCUUCGGAAGCCAGGAGCCUCGUGGAAAGGGACGAUGAUUGCGUCUUGCUUUUCCUCUGUCUCUGUCGCUCUCCCGUGCUAAGGCAUCGAGCUAUUCGCAACGAUCAGGUUGUAUCCUAUACUCUUAAUUCUCGCGCACAACGAUGAUAGAGCAUCGUUUGGCAUCGCCUGUGAUGUCGCGCUCGCGCUACUUUUGUUAAUGCGUCGUGAAUUGCGGAUAAAGAGAAACAUAGAUUUACGCGAUCCGUCACAUUGUCUCUCUGUGAUAUAGGCGAAGUAUACUCGUGAUUCUGCAGAGAGACAGCUCCGGAGAAAGUACUAAUGGAGGAGACGCAAACAACGCGGCAAUGACGAGAUACAUAUGUACAGAACAUGCCAGUGAUAAUGCUGGAACAAAUUCCCGUAUCGACGAUGACCACGAUUACUGCGGAGUACUUCGCGACCAUGGGCAAGACAGCGGUGAGCGCGAUUACAGCAUGCUCAUGCAGCAUGAUAACAAAGGAGACGGCGGCGGCAGUGCACAAAAUAUUGCAAGCUGAUUAAGAAAAUAUAUACAUGUAAAGUAACGGACGAUUUAGAGUUAAGGAUAAGAUAAAUAUGUCGAUAUCAAUAUUCAAAUAUAGCGUGUAGAGAUUUAUUUUAUUUAGUUCUAAUAAUAGAAUUAAGUUUAAAGAUUUGUUAAAUGUCCGUAUGCUUAGUUUCAGUUGAUUAUAGCGGUAGUAUUAAGUAUCGUGCGUGAACGGAUAAUUGCAUGUGCGAAUUGAGAGAAUGAAUGGGAGUGUUCUACUUGCGUAUAGACCCGAUAUUAGACACCACCAAUCAUAGGCCGAUGCCUAGAGUAUUUCCGUUGAUUGAGUUAGAUUAGGUUAUGUGAUUGGUGGUGUCCGAUCAGAUCUGUGCGCAACUGGGAUUCACGAAUGAAUGUGAGAAAGCGCGAAAGGGCGACUUUCGGAUUGCCGGCAAAAAAUCGUGAUCGCCAAGGUGUAAACGGGCACCAGGAGAACACCUGGAAGGUUUUACAAAGUUUUAGAAAUUUCUUGACCGACAAAAUGGCUGGUCAUUGCAAAUGACUAGAAGGCGUGGCUUUGCAAUUUUAAUCGAAAGAGUGGGGUUUUUCGAUUCGAGGAAGCCGAGAGAGAGCCCUCGACUUGAGAGUUGAUGAUGGAGAGUCUAAGGCCCGGUUUUUCAUUAUCUGGUUAACUUGUAGUUAAACUUGGUGUUUCAACCAAUGAGCUUUACUUAUGGCAUCAUCAUGAGUAAAGCUCAUUAGAUAAAACAUCAGGUUAAGUUUAACCACAAGUUAAACCACAAGUUAACCGGAUAAUGAAAAAUCGGGCCUAAGAGGCAAGUUGUUCUAAUACCGAGGCAUCCGGGACAAUGCGAUAUUGCGCAACUAUACACAAUUGCGAUACGUGACGGAGUAUCAUCUACGGAAAUGAUAACUAUUUUCCUUUUAUUAUUUGUUUUAAAUUUUAUUAACUCAGAAUCAACCGCGCGGCGUGUAUAAUUACGCGAUCAGACGAUGCGGGUAUAAUUUCAAUGUGACGCAUAUUCAAAAAUUCGAAGAUAGUGUACGCGAUGUAGAAACGUUAAUUAAGGACGCUGGAUGCGACGCGACGUAAAGUAUUAGAUUAAAGGUAUGCGUGUGAUAUGCGAGUGUGCGCGGUAGACUUAGAAGCGGAUAAACGAUUGUAGGCAAUACAGAAAAGUUCGAGCGCGGAAUAAAUUUUGUGAUACUAUUUGAAUAAACUUUUAUAUUUCAAACUAA